rnacentral:tRNA from 1 species
UUAAAAGAUAAGCUAAACUAAGCUAAUGGGCUCAUACCCCGUAAAUGAAAAUUUUUAUCUUUUCUCUUUUUAA